rnacentral:rRNA from 1 species
CCUACGGGGGGCUGCAGUGGGGAAUAUUGGACAAUGGGGGCAACCCUGAUCCAGCCAUGCCGCGUGUGUGAAGAAGGCCCUCGGGUUGUAAAGCACUUUCAGUGAGGAAGAACGCCUGGUGGUUAAUACCCAUCAGGGAAGACAUCACUCACAGAAGAAGCACCGGCUAACUCCGUGCCAGCAGCCGCGGUAAUACGGAGGGUGCGAGCGUUAAUCGGAAUUACUGGGCGUAAAGCGCGCGUAGGUGGCUUGAUAAGCCGGUUGUGAAAGCCCCGGGCUCAACCUGGGAACGGCAUCCGGAACUGUCAAGCUAGAGUGCAGGAGAGGAAGGUAGAAUUCCCGGUGUAGCGGUGAAAUGCGUAGAGAUCGGGAGGAAUACCAGUGGCGAAGGCGGCCUUCUGGACUGACACUGACACUGAGGUGCGAAAGCGUGGGUAGCAAACAGGAUUAGAUACCCGAGUAGUC